AAGCAACGCGAAGAACCUUACCAGGUCUUGACAUCCCUCUGACCGGUGCAGAGAUGCGCCUUCCCUUCGGGGCAGAGGAGACAGGUGGUGCAUGGUUGUCGUCAGCUCGUGUCGUGAGAUGUUGGGUUAAGUCCCGCAACGAGCGCAACCCUUGAUCUUUGUUGCCAGCACGUAAAGGUGGGCACUCUAAGAUGACUGCCGGUGACAAACCGGAGGAAGGUGGGGAUGACGUCAAAUCAUCAUGCCCCUUAUGACCUGGGCUACACACGUACUACAAUGGUCGGUACAGAGGGCAGCGAGGCCGCGAGGCGGAGCGAAUCUCAGAAAACCGAUCUCAGUUCGGAUUGCAGGCUGCAACUCGCCUGCAUGAAGCCGGAAUUGCUAGUAAUCGCGGAUCAGCAUGCCGCGGUGAAUACGUUCCCGGGUCUUGUACACACCGCCCGUCACACCACGAGAGUUUACAACACCCGAAGUCGGUGAGGUAACCGCAAGGAGCCAGCCGCCGAAGGUGGG
rnacentral:rRNA from 1 species